rnacentral:rRNA from 1 species
UACGAAGGGGGCAAGCGUUGUUCGGAAUUACUGGGCGUAAAGCGCGUGUAGGCUGUCUCGAAAGUCGGAUGUGAAAGCCCUGGGCUCAACCUAGGAAGUGCAUUCGAAACUUCGAGACUCGAGUCCUGGAGAGGAUCGCGGAAUUCUCGGUGUAGAGGUGAAAUUCGUAGAUAUCGAGAGGAACACCGGUGGCGAAGGCGGCGAUCUGGACAGUGACUGACGCUGAGACGCGAAGCGUGGGGAGCAAACA